ACACGUCCAACAGGUAUCAUUUUCUCUUGGUGAUUGAAGCAAUGGGAGUUGUUUGGGUUUUUCAUUUUUGUGUCCUGACUGUUUGGCUUGCCAAAGGUUCUUGUUGGCUAGCUACUGACACAAAAGAAAGACGGAGUAAUGGUAAGGAGAACAAAUUAACAGGUGAUGAUAUCAGUGACUAAAUCUUAAGUGAGUUACUUUCUGAUCAUCUUUUUGUGCGACAGAUCAGCUCUCCAUAAAGAAGGCCCUUGAACGUUUCCAGUUAAAGGAGAUUGCGUUGGAGCAACGUGCUGAUGAAGUACAACUGGAAACCAAUGAAGUGGAAACUCAGGCUGUAGCUCGCCAUGUGCGGCUUCAGAAGAAGCUCGAGACAAGUCCCAACCAGCUCAAGACCAAGGGAAAUAAUCUUCAGCUGGAACAGCAGAAGUGGAGUGACGGACCCAACAUCAAAGGCGACAGCAACACCAACGAGACGUGGGGCGACAGCAACACCAA